CUUGUACAGAUUAGGGCCGGGUUGGUUAGGCGCUCCUUUUGGGAAGGAGAAUAGUUGCGUUCGAACCGCAAUAAUCUGAUAUGGAAUGAAUAGAAAUGUAAUUGAUAUAGAACAUAUAUUUAUAUGAAAAUAUAUAAGUAUACAAAGAAACUAUUAUGGAAAUCUGGCUAUGUAUUAAAGGGUAUGAUUUAUUUAGUCAAAUUAAGAAUUUAGUGUAAAAAAUAAUUUCUAUUAAGGCUCCUUCCUGGCUGCGAAGUCCGGAGAGCUCUAGUAUAAAUUCUUUUUCGGCGCCAAAAACUUAUUUUAAAUAUAAACCCUAAGAGAAGUUUUAUAAUAAACGAAGUGAAUUGAAAUAUCUUAGUAACUUCAGGAAAAGAAAUCAAAAGAGAUUCUACGAUUAGCGUGAGUGAAAGUAGAAAAGCCUAUAUAUUAAUAAGUAAAAUGGUUUAGAAACUGUUUGAAUUUAUAGCCGACCUUGGGUCGGUCUCGGGGAACCUUCCUCAAAGGCUAAAUAUAAUACAUAAGCGAUAGUGAAUAGUAUCAUGAGAGAACGAUUAGAAUUAGUAGUUUUAUAAGCAGUUCGAGCAAAAUAAAUAAGUGAGAACGUACCUUUUGCAUAAUGGGUCACCAAGUUAACAUUAGAUGCGAGUGAAAGCGUAGAUAAACCAAUCGUUAAAAUAACGAAUAGUGUCUAAAGUUAGACCCGAAGCCUGGUGAUUUUACCACAAUCAGGAUUAUAAAAGUCCGAACGGGUUAUCGUUGUAAAGAUAUCCGAAGAAUUGUGGUAGGUAGUGAAAGACAACACUGACUAGGAUAGCUGGUUUUCUGCGAAACCUAUAACAGUAGGCAAUUUGAGUACAUCUUAGCAGGUACAGAAUUUAAUCUCAGACAAGAUGUUUUCAUUUUAGUUUAAACUAAAACAACAUGUUGAUUUGUAUAUAUCGGGGGAUCGUGGAGAUUCUAUCGGUGAGUAUGUAGACUCGGAAUGGCAAAGAUGGAUCUUGAGUUAUCAGACAUAGAAUGAUAAGGUUGUAUGUCAAAAGGGAAACAGCCCAGAACAAGAGUUAAGGUUCCAAAAUUAUUAGUUAAGUGAAAUUAAGAAAGUUUUUAUUAAAGUCGACAAGGAGAUAGGCUUAGAAGCAGCCAAUUUUUGAAGAUUUCGUAACAGAGCGCUUGUUAAGUUUUAAAAGCAUCGAAAAUUUAACGGAUCUAAACAAUAUACCGACACCUUGUCCAUAUUUUACACUAUAUAUUAUUGUAAUUUUGUGGGGUAGCAGAACGUUGAAUGAAAUUAAGAUAUUUCUUCUGUGAAGAAAUAUAUAACAAACAAUUCAAGUGAGAAUGGUGACAUGAGUAACGAAUAAGAAGGAUACGAAGAGAAAGGCAAUAAGGUAAAAACUUGUCACCGGCCUUUUCAAAUCCUCCGCCUAAAGCUUAUGGAUGGGUAAUCCCCUUAAAGUAACGGCCUCUAAGUUCUAAAUCUAAAGGUUUAAACGAUGAGAAAAUCUUUUUUACUAAAUGACAACAUUUACAAGUGAUAAGUGUGCUGGAAAAAAUAGUAAUAUAUCUUAUUGCGCUUCGGCAACGAAGUCGCUAUUAAGAUGAAAAAAUAACCGUACCUAGAAACUAAAACAAGUAAGCUAGUAGAGAAUACGAAGGCGUAAAUGAGCUAACAAUCAUAAAGGAACUCGGCAAACUAACUACCGUAACUUCGGGAUAAGGAGAGCUCAUUAGUCCUGAUUAAUAUCGGGUAAAAAGGAAGAAGCAUAAAAUAGUGUUGUACGACUGUUUAAUUAAAACACAGCACUUUGCUAAAAGAUUAAAAAUCGAAGUAUUGAGUGUGAUGUCUGCCCGAUGCCGGCUGGUUAACGAAUUUAACUAAAUUCUCAAAAAGUUUGGUGUUGAAGGAACCCCCGGUUAAUGGCGGCCUUAACGUGAGGGUCCUAAGGUAGCGAAAUGCCUUGGCCGUUAAAUGCGGUCUUGCAUGAAUGAUGUAACGAUACAACAGCUGUCUCUAUGAUUGACUCAGUGAAAUUGGAAUAACUGUGCAGAUACAGUUUACCUCUAGUUAGACGAGAAGACCCUAUGCAGCUUUACUGUUACUAAUUAUAGGGUAUGAUGGAUUAAUUUUCAGAUUAUAAGGUACAUUGAUUCAAUAAAAAUGAAAAUCCUUUAUUUUUACUUCAUACUUCAGAAGUAAUUUUUUGGCUCCUCCCUGUGUAAGCAACGUGGUGUAUGCCGUGCUGUGUAAGCAACGUUGCGUAUGCCGUGCUGUGUAUGCAACGUGGCGUAUGCCGUGCUGCCCAAACUAGAGGAAAGAAAGAAUUAACCGAAUCUGACUUAAAAGUGGCCUUAGGUAAGGAAUAUAUUGUUAGGAGACAGUUUAUGUGGGGCACAGGCCCCUUAAAGAGUAAAAGGGAGUGUCUAAAAAUUAUUUGUUAUAGGCGGAGCCGCGCGGAGCUGCGCGAGUUCAGUUCGGCUAUAACGUUGUUUGUGAUUUUAUGUAGUUUUACUAUAUUUAAUCUUAUAAAAUUCUCUUUAUCUACCCUGGUUGUAGAUAGGGAUGGAUAUUUAGGUACGAUUUUCACUAUAGUGGGAGUAGCGGUAGAAAAAAAAUAGUAUGAAAUUUUUCUACUAUUUUUGAGUUAUUAAGAGGUGGCUGCGGCUGCGAAGCCGCCAAGCUUCUUUUAAUAAAAAUGAUAAAUACCUGAAAAGCUCAACGGCUUAUUCGUGCCUUACUGUUUGAUUAACAACAAAUCUUACAGUUGCGUAAGCAGGGCAUAGGAUCACAAGAUGCAAAAAGGAAAGAUCUUGGAUUAUUGGAAAAGCUACGCUAGGGAUGUUUGUCCUUCAAUAUUUUUAGGGCUGCGUACGAAGUACGAAGUACGAAGUACGA
rnacentral:rRNA from 1 species